AACCUUCCUGCAUUUCACAAGGUUCUAGUUUUUGUUUGUGUAAAAUCAGUCCCUGUUCCAUUUGUUUCACCUGAAGAACGCUUCCUCAUUGGCCGAGUAUGUCCAAGGCCAUAUCGCAUGUAUAGGUGCAUUGUGAGGUAUGGGUACAAGGAUAUCCAGAGGGAUGAUGGAGAUUUUGAGAACAUGCUUAUACAAAGCAUAGCAGAGUUCAUCCAGAUGGAAGCAGUAGAACCUCAAUUCUCUAGUUCUGAGAGUCCAUCACUUGAUGGGAGGAUGGCUGUUAUGAGCACCAGAUCUUUCCAAUCAAGCUUGAGUAUAAUAGUAACUGAGGAGGAUAUUAUUAAUAUUGAUGACUCUAUACAAAGCAGUAAAUCUCUAACCCUCCAGAGCCUGCGAUCUGCCUAUGAUGAUGAUAAUCCACAGAUCAGGAGGCACCAAGUGAGGUUUAAGUUGCCACAAAAUCCUUCAAUGGAUCCUUCAGUUAGAGACGAGCUGAUGGAUUUAUUACAGGCAAAGGAAGCGGGUGUUGCUUAUAUAA
rnacentral:misc_RNA from 1 species